UAAAAAGUCACAUGAAAUAAAAGUAGGAAAGUAGAAAUGAAAACGGAUGGGAGCUACUUCCCUUCCCACACCUAAACCUUAGGAUAUUUAUAUUUAAGAAAGUCAGCAUCAGGCGGGGAUUAGCUCAGUGGUUUCACCGCAAGCACAAGGUCCCGAGUUCGAUCUUCGCUACCAAAAAGCCAGAAAGCAUCAUGAGAGGCAAAAGUAAUAAAGUAAUAUGCUACAGUUGCUGAGGAAUCACCCAUUUGAUUAACUGAUCACACAGGGACUGCUUAGGGAGCAUAUCUGACGCCCAGCUUUAGAUAUGGCCUCUUUUCCCGCCAACUUUUCUAAUGCCUCUUCUCUUUGGUUAAUAUGAUUGUUAUUGGUAGUGUUUAAUUCAUGUUCAUUAUAAAGAGCCUUGCAUUGUAUGGUCCAUGGGGGUAUCAUUUGUGAUCAUUAAAUAUUGCAGGUACCACAUUGUUUCCUUAUUGGUAGCACUCAAGAGUAAGGAAAGCCUUUCUUUCCUAUAGUAUCUUUCCCCCAGCAGCUCUAACCUAGAUAUCUACCCUCUUCCCUUCCUUCAAGUUCUGUCUAGGGAGCAAUGAAAACUUUAUUGAAGAUUUCCUGGAGAAGGGGAGGGGAGGAGUUAUAUAUAUCUUGUAGCAGAUGCUGUAAAGUCCUGCCCUAGCAUUUCUCUGACCCAGGAUCUUCCCUUGUGAGCUACACCCACUGGUGCUGUGGUCUGACCUGCCACCUCAGGACUUGUCUCUCUAGUUCCCUCUCCUUUCUAAAUAUUUGGCCAGCCUCUUUAGUACGUGACGUGAUUUCUUGUUUUUCUCUAUAUCUUGCACAAAAUCGUCAACACUUUGUGAAAUGUAGAAUGAAUCCUUCUUCCCUCCCCUGCCAGUAUCAAAGUUAUCCUCUCUCUAACUGGUGUAGGAAAUCGGCUUGGCUUCAGCACUUUCCCCAAACAUCAUGCAAGUGCUUAGUAAAGCAGAAAACCCACAGUGAUUGGGUUCACUCCUCUGAUGACAAGGAUUAGAGGAUCGAUUUUGAUUCAGGGCCUACCCUUAAUGGUUAAUAGUAGUAAUAGUAAGAGCUACCAUUGACUAUGCACAUGCGCCAGGAAUCCUUAAAUUCUUCACAUGUAUUAAUUCAUAAAAUCCACACUAUGAUUCGACAAGGUAGAUAUUGUUAUUGCCACCCCUCAUUUCAUGUGUGAAGAUCCCAAGGCCUAGAACAGUUGAGAACUCAAGGUUUCAGACCCCUUAUGUAGCAGGGCCAUGAUUCAAAACUAAGAAAUCAAUUCUCAAAGUCUAUAUUCUUAACCAUGUAUUUGCUAAGCCAAAUAUUGCUUCUAUACAAAACACUGCUCUCCCAAGAAAGUUUUGUUGAGGAACACAUUUAUUUUUCUUUUUCUGUUGUUAUACUGGAGAUUGAACCCAGGGCCCUCACCCCAUUUUAUUUUUGAGCUAAUUUGUUAAGUUAACCAGAGUCAAACUUGGAAAUCCUCCUGCCUCAGCCUCCCAGAGCCCUGGAAUUACAGGGAUGCUAGAAAUGUUUUUCUUGUUAUAUAUUUCUUUACAGUUGGGACAAAAGGGGAUGAAAGUAGAAGCAAAGCAGGGAAAGUUCCUAGGAUGCCCUGCUUACCUGCUUUUUCCUACCCAAGGCUGAAUUUACUGAGUGCCAAGUAUGUGGUGCAGCUCUUUGGAAUUUAGAAUGCUGGGCCAUGAGAGGGGAUGUAACCUAACAAAGGACGACUCAGAAAGGAGUGGCCGCACACAGAGACCCUUAGAUGCUAGGGGAGCCCACGGGGACUCCUAACCCGGCUUGAGAAACCAAGGAAGACUUCCCUGGGGAAUGUUCAGCUGAUGGCCAAGAGAUUUCCUUUAUUUCAGAAGAAGAACUUUGCAGCACUGAUGGGUGAUGCGCCCCCUCCUCUUCAGAAAGCUCAUCAGCUGCCAUUCUCUGUUGCUGAGCCAGAAGUUGCUGAUGUUCCUCUGUGGACAGCUCCUCUGAGUGUCCCUCCACAGGUUCCUCAGCAUCGCCCCUCUGUACCUGUGAGCCCACGGACUCUGCUGUAGUGACAGUGUCAUCAACCACAGGAAUCAGUACAUAUUCAGUCCACAUUGUACCAGAAAACAGAUGGCAAGAAAUACAGUACUACUCUAAAGACAGACAGGCAAACUGGAAGGUUGUCUGCUCAGUCCCCUUCCACUUUCCAAGCUGGCUCUCAACAGCUGCUCAAGUUUGGGCUGCUCCUUCCACAGCCGGCUCCUCCUGCUGCUGGAUCACCUCCACUGGCCUGAGUUCCUGUUCCCCACCAUUGAGCGCCUUUCUAGUGGAAUCAAAACAGGCCCAUGCUUUAGACUUGGAAAUAUUUACCUAUUAGAAUACACCAGCUAGAAGAAUCGAAUAAACCUUCAGUUUGCAUUUA